AUUACCCAAUACGGACACCGGGAGGUAGUGACAAGAAAUAACAAUACAGGGCGAAUGUCUUGUAAUUGGAAUGAUGGUGACCCAAACCCUCACCAGAGUAGCAAUUGGAGGGCAAGUCUGGUGCCAGCAGCCGCGGUAAUUCCAGCUCCAAUAGCGUAUAUUAAACUUGUUGCAGUUAAAAAGCUCGUAGUUGUAUUUUUGCGUUAGCGGUUUGACCAUUUGGUUGGUUAUUUCGUUUCCGCUUUUGGGAAUUUCCCUUUUUACUUUGAGAAAAUUAGAGCGUUUCAAGCAGACUUUUGUCUUGAAUACUUCAGCAUGGAAUAAUAGAGUAGGACUUUGGUUCUAUUUUGUUGGUUAUCGAACCUUAGUAAUGGUUAAUAGGAACGGUUGGGGGCAUUCGUAUUUAA
rnacentral:rRNA from 1 species